CCCUUAGAUGUCCUGGGCCGCACGCGCGCUACACUGAGUGUCUGAGAUACGAGUCUGCCUGGUCCGGCAAGGUCUAGGUAAUCGCUAAAAGACACAUCAUGCUUGGGAUAGAUUAUUGCAAAUAUUAAUCUUGAACGAGGAAUUCCUAGUAAGCGCAAGUCAACAGCUUGCGUUGAUUACGUCCCUGCCCUUGGUACACACCGCCCGUCGCUACUACUGAUUGGAUGUUUAAGCGAGGUUCUCGAACUGCUAGCGACUUAGCUUCGGUGAGGUCGCAGUGUGGGAAGUGAACCUAGCUUUGGUGUCUAGAGGAAGUAAAAGUCGUAACA
rnacentral:rRNA from 1 species